GAUGAACGCUGGCGGCGUGCCUAAUACAUGCAAGUCGAGCGAAUGGAUUAAGAGCUUGCUCUUAUGAAGUUAGCGGCGGACGGGUGAGUAACACGUUGGUAACCUGCCCAUAAGACUGGGAUAACUCCGGGAAACCGGGGCUAAUACCGGAUAACAUUUUGAACCGCAUGGUUCGAAAUGGAAAGCCGGCUUCGGCUGUCACUUAUGGAUGGACCCGUGUCGCAUUAGCUAGUUGGUGAGGUACCGGCUCACCAAGGCAACGAUGCGUAGCCGACCUGAGAGGGUGAUCGGCCACACUGGGACUGAGACACGGCCCAGACUCCUACGGGAGGCAGCAGUAGGGAAUCUUCCGCAAUGGACGAAAGUCUGACGGAGCAACGCCGCGUGAGUGAUGAAGGCUUUCGGGUCGUAAAACUCUGUUGUUAGGGAAGAACAAGUGCUAGUUGAAUAAGCUGGCACCUUGACGGUACCUAACCAGAAAGCCACGGCUAACUACGUGCCAGCAGCCGCAGUAA
rnacentral:rRNA from 1 species